UGCAUUCGUUCGCUAGGCGAAACAACCCGUCCGCUCUGAACGAACGAGGGGCUGGGCGGUGGCAACUUCUUCGCGUGACGGGUUGCCUGGGAUGCGCCGGUCAUGGGCAGCGGCGGGGGCCAGCCGAUGGCUUCGGGUGAUGCCAACCGGGACGGCAGCGCAUCCUCGGGAGAGGAGGCGGGAGGAGGAGAAGGAGAGGCCUGGCGGCGGGUGAGGAAGUCUCACUGGCGAGCGGGCUCACGCCGCCGCCUGGCGCGUGGUUUGGAUCGGGGCACUUCCCCGCGGACGAGGAGCGAGCGGACGAAACACGGUCCCGCACGCCGCACCAUGCUGCCUGUUGACGGACGUGAGGGCCACCGCACGGACGCGAGCACCACCAACCCUCCUCUGACGCGUGCGAGAGCAGGCGCCCCGGCCGCCCCCGUCGCGCCAUCUCUGAUGGAUGCGAGAGCAGGCCGCCACUCCUCCGACGAGAAGGCCGUGGCCCCCAUCACGGCUACUCCUCUGCUGCCCCGCGUACGCCGCCGCUCUUCUUCUGACGGACGGGAGAGCAGGCCGCCGCCCCCGCCGCUUCCCCUCCGACGGAUGCGAUAGCAGGCCGCCAUCUCCGCCACUCCUCUGCUGUCCCAUGUACGCCACCGCCGAACAAACAGCACCGCCGCCUGCGCCGCCGACCGCCGCUUCUCAUCGUCUGCAACGACGAAUCUGCUGCUAAUUAAGUUUGAUGUGCUGACAAUGGAAAUUUCGAUUGCCCCUAUCUCCUCCGCAAUGUGCAGAGAUUGCUGUCGCACUCACCAAAGGGAAGAUUGCUGAGUACUUCGCCUAAAUCCAGUGCAAACGACCACCAUGUUCGCCAAGAAGUGGACGAACGCCCAGGAGAUUAAGAUUGAUGGUGGAAAAUAUUAAUGCUAUGCCACUAUUGUGAAGCAAUUGUGCCUCUCUUGCAUAGGACAAUUCGUUUUGUGUAUAUGAACGUCUUGGAUGCAGUGCAGAAACCAGAUCGAGGCUAUAUUCAGUUCAUGGACUGCUCCAACAACUAUUAUCUCUGGUGUGCUUCCUGAUCUUGUUGCAAGGACAAAUUUAGUCUUCUCCUUUGACUACUAAUCCUUUUUCUUAUAUGUAGGCUUUGUAUCAUGUCCUUUUGAUUAAGUCUGCAAUUUCAUCUUCUUGAUUGUUAUUUCCUUUUAUGUUAAUGUGAGCUUUAUUUAAUUCAUCAUAUACCUAAUAAGUUAGCAAGAAACUCAUGUAUCUGUAAGACUGAAACGAGUAUUGUAAUAACGGAUCAUUGUCACAACCCUCUUCUUGGUCUCGGCCUAUUAAGAAUGAGGCUAAUUUCAAAGUUAGCCAGAAACUCAUGUAUCUCUAUAGUUUGUUAAAUCUUUGAAUUUCCAUGAGAGAAAGGAGCACACCUGGUUGAAACAUUCUUCUACAUUGAAUAAUAUAACCGUAAUUCAGAUGCAAACCUGUCUGUUUGACCUUGGUUUUGUUGUUGAUAUGUUACGAUUAAAUGGACUUGUAAUCAUGCACAUGUAUGUACCUAGGUCAGGUAUGUGGUAUUAAAACCAAUAUACGAUUGCGUAAAAUUCCGAUGGAGACUCAAAAUAUAUUAUAUAUAAUAUCAUUGUAAAAGGUGUACAAGCUUCUAUAUGUUCUACCAAGCCCGGCGGCGGUUCUACAAGCUUCUGUAUGUUUUAUCUGUCUGUAAAGGAGUAGCAUAACUUUUGCCAUGGGUAUGCAUGUUUGCCGCACACUAAGUUGUAAGGGUGUUGAUUCUGAAAUUGCGGAAGCACCUCUAGAGCACAGAAUGAUGGUAAAGCUAUAUUUUCCCCUUUCAUUUUGCAAUAUAGGAAAAAAAAGGUCGUAUUGAAGUUUCACGGGUUACAAGUUCACUCUGAUUGAAGUUGGUCUAAUAUCCUAGACGUGGCUGUUGUAUCUGCGGUGCAUGUAUUAAAUGUGCUUAGAGACACCUAAUGGUCAUACACUCAUUCUUGUACAUGGAAGUAUGUGUAAUGUAUCUUGGGUUUCAUG